GCACAAAACAGACCACAUAUGGCUGUCUGGAAAUAAUAAUCAUUUUAAGUUGAAAAUACUGACAAAUGCCAGUGGGGUAGAUAACUCCUUGAAGACAGGGUAGAGGUGGAAAGAAGGAGUCUGUUUGUUUGAGAAGGUGUAACAAUCAUUGUGGUUCCUUUUAUUAUUUAUAUUAUGAAAUGAUGUGUCCAAAAAAACUAUUUGUAUGAGUACAUUCUUAAGAAGAAAUAAUCCCUUUAAAGAAACUAAAAUCCUUACCUUCAGCAACCUCAUUUUAUUAGGAGCAGCCAGUGUGAAUCAAGAUGAAUACUACUCUAAUGAUAGUUGGGGCGCCAUGUGCAGUGAAACACCAUUGGUGUGGCACUUCUUUUGGCCACGACACGUGAUUCAUUAAAAUGUUUAAAAUCCCAUCUUCUACUUUUUACUGAUAGAGAUGUUGAUGCUGUCCUGUACCACUUGGUAAAAAGUCGUGUUAUAUUUUUGCUGACACACAGGAGCUUAGUAAAUGCCGAACUUAUUCAAUUAAGAAGAAAAAAAAGAUACAGAGAGUAAAAAUAUCUUGACAAAGGUCCAAAAAAUAUCCCAGUUUUCACCCUGAAUCAUUCUAUUCUGGUUCCUCUUUUCUACUCUGGACAAUUAUGAGAAAGAACUAGGAUGACAAAUAUAGCUAACGAAAGGAUAUUUUUAAGAGAGAUGCACAUGCAUGUACAAGGCCAUGCUCCUUGGUUGUGGUGAGUUCACUUAUAUUUUGUUUUCUUUAGGAUAUUUUAAACGGGAUGGGUCAAUCAUUUCUGAAUUGACUCCUUCAACACUCCAACAGACCAAACUUUUCAUCUGCAGAGUAUGUUUGAUCAUGGAAAUUGGACUAAAUUUGGAUUUCUCUGAAGUUCUGUAAGUUGUUUCACAGGAAAGGUGCCAAAAAAUACCCAGUCAUCACUGUGGGGUACUUGUGACGUAGGAUGAACUAUGGAAAUAAACUUUUCUGUCCUCUCCCCACUCCCGCUUUUUGCAGUACAAUGGCCCAUCUGUGAGGAGAAGACCUAUAAAACAAGUUCAGAAAUACACAAAGAACUGAACAGAAAAGUCGUGUUUCGGAAAGUUUGGCAACUGAAAAUUUCCUUUUUUUUUUAUUUUGAGAAAAAUGAAGGAUACCUAAGAUGGCAAAAUGACCUAUAUUUCCAUCAUAAGGUGCUUAAUUUGUAAUUGCACUUGCCACAUUUAAACACGAUUGGAUAUUUAAUCAUUUUAUGAAACUAUAUUAGCAACUAGAGGUUGGAGAAGUUAGUUGGUGACUUUUCUCUGUAGCCAAUAUAAGGCAUCCCAAACAUUCGCCGGUAGCAUUUCUAACAUAAAGUGGGGUUUCCAUUUGUUUGUUUUAAAGUGUUAUCGAAGAGGUAAAUUUCUUGAUGUGGGAAUGUCUUUGUCACAGAUGGUGACAGUCAUGUUGCAGGUAUUUUUGGCUUUAGUAUUAGUUGCUUUCCUCAUUUUAUAUGCCUCAUCUAUGUUGUUAAACAAUUCCAUCUUGGACCUCCACCUAGUCUCUGUAAACCUUCCUUCCAACUUCUACACCAAGUAAAUGGAUUAUCUGAUUAAUCUAAUGGAUCUAAUGAGGUGUGUUUCGAUAACAGAGAAACUAGGUUCCUAGAGAUUAGUGGACGUAUGUGCCUCAUAAACUUAGUUGAGAAUCCUUAAGCACUGAGAGGUCUUAAAUACUCAGCGCCCGUCCUGGUCAAAGUGUCCAGUCUUUGUCAACGGGAAAAAUGUAUUCAUUCACUCAGCCCAUCUCUACUGCGCGCCUAAUGUAUGUAUGCUGGCUACCUUGUUGGGAUCUGUUCCAGAACAUUUUUGAAAGCGACAUCUCAGGAAAUAUUAAGGAACACAAAGGAGCCAAGAGGAGGGCAUAAUUUAAGCUUGGAAAAAAUGACCAGGUAAUCUAUAGUCCAGGUUUAAGGGGAUUACUUUGGGGGAGGGUAAAUAGAAGGAAUUUAGAUACCUGCCCCUUACUAUUUCAACUCUGUGGAGUGCCCAGGCUCUCAGCCCCUGAGGCCCUUUACAGGAGCUGUGGGCCUAAACGCUUGGGCAUCUCUCUGCUAGUUGCCUUGCUUGUCCUUCCUCCUCCCGCUUGGCCCCCUCAUUGGAGACCAGGUCAGAAUCAGCUGGAAAAUCAAAUCGCUCACCCCCUCAAUGUCAGCUCCCAUACAUCUCUUUCUCCUCCUGCCUCAAAGUACAGUUCGGCUCUUUAAGAGACCAGACUGAAUGCAGGUAGUGCAGAGCUUAAGCAUCUAAGAGAGGAACUUGUCAGGUUCAGAACUGGAAGGGAGGCCGGCUUCAGUCUAAGAUCGGGGGUGGGGUGGGGGGUGACCUCUUGGGUCCCUGCAACUCACCUUCAUCCCUUUCUUCUAAUUCUCAGUUUAAAAAUGAAUAAAAUGAAAUAAAGUAAAAAACACAGAUCCCUUCCGGAGCAAGGGAGCCCCGAGUCGCGGGUCCCACGCCCGCCACCCGAGGGGUGUGCGCCCGGGUCGGCCCGCGGCCGCGCUGCUCCCUCCCCCGCCGGCGACGAGCCUCACGGACGGCCGCGGGCGGACAAGUAGCUGUUUUUAUUGAAUACAGAAGCUCCUUGAGAGCUCUGCGGGCUCCGGGGCUCUCCUGCCAUUCCUUUCAUUCCCGAGGUGCAGGAGCCAAGCACGCGUCCCGCGUAACUCCCUCCCACUUCUUGUCGGGGCUCCGGGCGGGCGGGGAGGGCGGGGGCGCGGGGGGGCGAGGGGGGGUGGCCGGGGGUCCGGGGGCGCAGGGGGCGCGGGGGGC
rnacentral:lncRNA from 1 species